UUCCAGACUCCUACGGGAGGCAGCAGUGGGGGAUAUUGCACAAUGGGGGGAACCCUGAUGCAGCGACGCCGCGUGGGUGAAGGAGCGUUUCGGCGCGUAAAGCCCUAUCGGCAGGGAAGAAGGAGGACGGUACCUGACUAAGAAGCCCCGGCUAACUACGUGCCAGCAGCCGCGGUAAUACGUAGGGGGCAGGCGUUAUCCGGAUUUACUGGGUGUAAAGGGGGCGCAGACGGCAGCGCAAGCCAGGAGUGAAAGCCCGGGGCCCAACCCCGGGACUGCUCUUGGAACUGCGCGGCUGGAGUGCAGGAGGGGCAGGCGGAAUUCCUGGUGUAGCGGUGAAAUGCGUAGAUAUCAGGAGGAACACCAGUGGCGAAGGCGGCUUACUGGACUGUAACUGACGUUGAGGCUCGAAAGCGUGGGGAGCAAACAGGAUUAGAUACCCCUGUA
rnacentral:rRNA from 1 species